UCGAGCGAGUCUGCCUUGAAGAUCGGAGUGCUUGCACUCUGUGAAACAAGAUACAGGCUAGCGGCGGACGGGUGAGUAACACGUGGGUAACCUGCCCAAGAGAUCGGGAUAACACCUGGAAACAGAUGCUAAUACCGGAUAACUACAGAUGAUGCCUAUCAACUGUUUAAAAGAUGGUUCUGCUAUCACUCUUGGAUGGACCUGCGGUGCAUUAGCUAGUUGGUAGGGUAACGGCCUACCAAGGCGAUGAUGCAUAGCCGAGUUGAGAGACUGAUCGGCCACAUUGGGACUGAGACACGGCCCAAACUCCUACGGGAGGCAGCAGUAGGGAAUCUUCCACAAUGGACGCAAGUCUGAUGGAGCAACGCCGCGUGAGUGAAGAAGGGUUUCGGCUCGUAAAGCUCUGUUGUUGGUGAAGAAGGACAGGGGUAGUAACUGACCUUUGUUUGACGGUAAUCAAUUAGAAAGUCACGGCUAACUACGUGCCAGCAGCCGCGGUAAUACGUAGGUGGCAAGCGUUGUCCGGAUUUAUUGGGCGUAAAGCGAGUGCAGGCGGCUCGAUAAGUCUGAUGUGAAAGCCUUCGGCUCAACCGGAGAAUUGCAUCAGAAACUGUCGAGCUUGAGUACAGAAGAGGAGAGUGGAACUCCAUGUGUAGCGGUGAAAUGCGUAGAUAUAUGGAAGAACACCGGUGGCGAAGGCGGCUCUCUGGUCUGUUACUGACGCUGAGGCUCGAAAGCAUGGGUAGCGAACAGGAUUAGAUACCCUGGUAG
rnacentral:rRNA from 1 species